GGGUUGUGAGGUUAAGCGACUAAGCGUACACGGUGGAUGCCCUGGCAGUCAGAGGCGAUGAAGGACGUGCUAAUCUGCGAAAAGCGUCGGUAAGGUGAUAUGAACCGUUAUAGCCGGCGAUGUCCGAAUGGGGAAACCCAGUGUGAUUCGUCACACUAUCGUUAACUGAAUACAUAGGUUAACGAGGCGAACCGGGGGAACUGAAACAUCUAAGUACCCCGAGGAAAAGAAAUCAACCGAGAUUCCCCCAGUAGCGGCGAGCGAACGGGGAGCAGCCCAGAGUCUGAAUCAGCUUGUGUGUUAGUGGAACGGUCUGGAAAGUCCGACGGUACAGGGUGAUAGUCCCGUACACCAAAAUGCACAGGUUGUGAACUCGAAGAGUAGGGCGGGACACGUGGUAUCCUGUCUGAAUAUGGGGGGACCAUCCUCCAAGGCUAAAUACUCCUGACUGACCGAUAGUGAACCAGUACCGUGAGGGAAAGGCGAAAAGAACCCCGGCGAGGGGAGUGAAAAAGAACCUGAAACCGUGUACGUACAAGCAGUGGGAGCACCUUCGGGUGUGACUGCGUACCUUUUGUAUAAUGGGUCAGCGACUUAUAUUCUGUAGCAAGGUUAACCGUAUAGGGGAGCCGCAGGGAAACCGAGUCUUAACUGGGCGUUAAGUUGCAGGGUAUAGACCCGAAACCCGGUGAUCUAGCCAUGGGCAGGUUGAAGGUUGGGUAACACUAACUGGAGGACCGAACCGACUAAUGUUGAAAAAUUAGCGGAUGACUUGUGGCUGGGGGUGAAAGGCCAAUCAAACCGGGAGAUAGCUGGUUCUCCCCGAAAGCUAUUUAGGUAGCGCCUCGUGAACUCAUCUUCGGGGGUAGAGCACUGUUUCGGCUAGGGGGUCAUCCCGACUUACCAACCCGAUGCAAACUACGAAUACCGAAGAAUGUUAUCACGGGAGACACACGGCGGGUGCUAACGUCCGUCGUGAAGAGGGAAACAACCCAGACCGCCAGCUAAGGUCCCAAAGUCAUGGUUAAGUGGGAAACGAUGUGGGAAGGCACAGACAGCCAGGAUGUUGGCUUAGAAGCAGCCAUCAUUUAAAGAAAGCGUAAUAGCUCACUGGUCGAGUCGGCCUGCGCGGAAGAUGUAACGGGGCUAAACCAUGCACCGAAGCUGCGGCAGCGACACUAUGUGUUGUUGGGUAGGGGAGCGUUCUGUAAGCCUGCGAAGGUGUGCUGUGAGGCAUGCUGGAGGUAUCAGAAGUGCGAAUGCUGACAUAAGUAACGAUAAAGCGGGUGAAAAGCCCGCUCGCCGGAAGACCAAGGGUUCCUGUCCAACGUUAAUCGGGGCAGGGUGAGUCGACCCCUAAGGCGAGGCCGAAAGGCGUAGUCGAUGGGAAACAGGUUAAUAUUCCUGUACUUGGUGUUACUGCGAAGGGGGGACGGAGAAGGCUAUGUUAGCCGGGCGACGGUUGUCCCGGUUUAAGCAUGUAGGCUGAUUGUCCAGGCAAAUCCGGAUAAUCAAGGCUGAGGUGUGAUGACGAGGCACUACGGUGCUGAAGUAACAAAUGCCCUGCUUCCAGGAAAAGCCUCUAAGCAUCAGGUAACAUCAAAUCGUACCCCAAACCGACACAGGUGGUCAGGUAGAGAAUACCAAGGCGCUUGAGAGAACUCGGGUGAAGGAACUAGGCAAAAUGGUGCCGUAACUUCGGGAGAAGGCACGCUGGUGUGUAGGUGAAGCCCCUGCGGGUGGAGCUGAGACCAGUCGAAGAUACCAGCUGGCUGCAACUGUUUAUUAAAAACACAGCACUGUGCAAACACGAAAGUGGACGUAUACGGUGUGACGCCUGCCCGGUGCCGGAAGGUUAAUUGAUGGGGUUAUCCGUAAGGAGAAGCUCUUGAUCGAAGCCCCGGUAAACGGCGGCCGUAACUAUAACGGUCCUAAGGUAGCGAAAUUCCUUGUCGGGUAAGUUCCGACCUGCACGAAUGGCGUAAUGAUGGCCAGGCUGUCUCCACCCGAGACUCAGUGAAAUUGAACUCGCUGUGAAGAUGCAGUGUACCCGCGGCAAGACGGAAAGACCCCGUGAACCUUUACUAUAGCUUGACACUGAACAUUGAGCCUUGAUGUGUAGGAUAGGUGGGAGGCUUUGAAGCGUGGACGCCAGUCUGCGUGGAGCCAACCUUGAAAUACCACCCUUUAAUGUUUGAUGUUCUAACGUUGGCCCCUGACCGGGGUUGCGGACAGUGUCUGGUGGGUAGUUUGACUGGGGCGGUCUCCUCCCAAAGCGUAACGGAGGAGCACGAAGGUUAGCUAAUCCUGGUCGGACAUCAGGAGGUUAGUGCAAUGGCAUAAGCUAGCUUGACUGCGAGCGUGACGGCGCGAGCAGGUGCGAAAGCAGGUCAUAGUGAUCCGGUGGUUCUGAAUGGAAGGGCCAUCGCUCAACGGAUAAAAGGUACUCCGGGGAUAACAGGCUGAUACCGCCCAAGAGUUCAUAUCGACGGCGGUGUUUGGCACCUCGAUGUCGGCUCAUCACAUCCUGGGGCUGAAGUAGGUCCCAAGGGUAUGGCUGUUCGCCAUUUAAAGUGGUACGCGAGCUGGGUUUAGAACGUCGUGAGACAGUUCGGUCCCUAUCUGCCGUGGGCGCUGGAGAAUUGAGGGGGGCUGCUCCUAGUACGAGAGGACCGGAGUGGACGCAUCACUGGUGUUCGGGUUGUCAUGCCAAUGGCACUGCCCGGUAGCUAAAUGCGGAAGAGAUAAGUGCUGAAAGCAUCUAAGCACGAAACUUGCCCCGAGAUGAGUUCUCCCUGAGACUUUAAGUCUCCUGAAGGAACGUUAAAGACGAUGACGUUGAUAGGCCGGGUGUGUAAGCGCAGCGAUGCGUUGAGCUAACCGGUACUAAUGAACCGUGAGGCUUAACCUUACAACGCCGAAG
rnacentral:rRNA from 1 species